GACGAACGCUGGCGGCGUGGAUUAGGCAUGCAAGUCGGACGGUAGGGCUUUAUCGUAAGAUAGAGUUUGAGAGUGGCGAACGGGUGAGUAACACGUAGGAAUCUACCCUUAAGACGGGGACAACCCAGGGAAACUUGGGCUAAUACCGGAUGAGAGUGCGAGAGAUUGCAUUUAAAAGGAUGGCGAAAGUUGUCGCUUAGGGAUGAGCCUGCGGUCUAUUAGUUAGUUGGUGAGGUAAGAGCUCACCAAGGCGAUGAUAGAUAGGCGGCCUUAACGGGUGGUCGCCCACACUGGGAUUGAGAUACGGCCCAGACUCCUACGGGAGGCAGCAGUCGAGAAUAGUCUACAAUGGCCGGAAGGCUGAUAGUGCGACGCCGCGUGAACGAGGGAGCCCUUCGGGGUGUAAAGUUCUUUUAUAUGUGAGCAGUGCUUUCUUAUAUUAACAGUAUGGGGAAGAGAUAUUAGCAUAUGAAUAAGCAACGGCUAACUCCGU
rnacentral:rRNA from 1 species